UUGAACGCUGGCGGCAGGCCUAACACAUGCAAGUCGAGCGGUAGCACAGAGAGCUUGCUCUCGGGUGACGAGCGGCGGACGGGUGAGUAAUGUCUGGGAAACUGCCUGAUGGAGGGGGAUAACUACUGGAAACGGUAGCUAAUACCGCAUAAUGUCGCAAGACCAAAGUGGGGGACCUUCGGGCCUCAUGCCAUCAGAUGUGCCCAGAUGGGAUUAGCUAGUAGGUGGGGUAACGGCUCACCUAGGCGACGAUCCCUAGCUGGUCUGAGAGGAUGACCAGCCACACUGGAACUGAGACACGGUCCAGACUCCUACGGGAGGCAGCAGUGGGGAAUAUUGCACAAUGGGCGCAAGCCUGAUGCAGCCAUGCCGCGUGUGUGAAGAAGGCCUUCGGGUUGUAAAGCACUUUCAGCGGGGAGGAAGGCGUUAAGGUUAAUAACCUUGGCGAUUGACGUUACCCGCAGAAGAAGCACCGGCUAACUCCGUGCCAGCAGCCGCGGUAAUACGGAGGGUGCAAGCGUUAAUCGGAAUUACUGGGCGUAAAGCGCACGCAGGCGGUCUGUCAAGUCGGAUGUGAAAUCCCCGGGCUCAACCUGGGAACUGCAUUCGAAACUGGCAGGCUAGAGUCUUGUAGAGGGGGGUAGAAUUCCAGGUGUAGCGGUGAAAUGCGUAGAGAUCUGGAGGAAUACCGGUGGCGAAGGCGGCCCCCUGGACAAAGACUGACGCUCAGGUGCGAAAGCGUGGGGAGCAAACAGGAUUAGAUACCCUGGUAGUCCACACAGUAAACGAUGAAUACUCGCUGUUGGCGAUACACAGUCAGCGGCCAAGCGAAAGCAUUAAGUAUUCCACCUGGGGAGUACGCCGGCAACGGUGAAACUCAAAGGAAUUGACGGGGGCCCGCACAAGCGGUGGAGCAUGUGGUUUAAUUCGAUGCAACGCGAAGAACCUUACCUGGUCUUGACAUCCACAGAACUUUCCAGAGAUGGAUUGGUGCCUUCGGGAACUGUGAGACAGGUGCUGCAUGGCUGUCGUCAGCUCGUGUUGUGAAAUGUUGGGUUAAGUCCCGCAACGAGCGCAACCCUUAUCCUUUGUUGCCAGCGGUUAGGCCGGGAACUCAAAGGAGACUGCCAGUGAUAAACUGGAGGAAGGUGGGGAUGACGUCAAGUCAUCAUGGCCCUUACGACCAGGGCUACACACGUGCUACAAUGGCAUAUACAAAGAGAAGCGACCUCGCGAGAGCAAGCGGACCUCAUAAAGUAUGUCGUAGUCCGGAUUGGAGUCUGCAACUCGACUCCAUGAAGUCGGAAUCGCUAGUAAUCGUAGAUCAGAAUGCUACGGUGAAUACGUUCCCGGGCCUUGUACACACCGCCCGUCACACCAUGGGAGUGGGUUGCAAAAGAAGUAGGUAGCUUAACCUUCGGGAGGGCGCUUACCACUUUGUGAUUCAUGACUGGGGUG
rnacentral:rRNA from 1 species